rnacentral:rRNA from 1 species
AGAGUUUGAUCCUGGCUCAGGAUGAACGCUAGCUACAGGCUUAACACAUGACGAAGUCGAAGGGGAAACGAUAUUGGAAGUCUUGCUUCCGAUAGGCGUCGACCGGCGUACGGGUGAGUAACGCGUAUCCAACCUGCCCACCACUUGGGGAUAACCUUGCGAAAGUAAGACUAAUACCCAAUGACGUCUCUAGAAGACAUCUGAAAGAGAUUAAAGAUUUAUCGGUGAUGGAUGGGGAUGCGUCUGAUUAGCUUGUUGGCGGGGUAACGGCCCACCAAGGCGACGAUCAGUAGGGGUUCUGAGAGGAAGGCCCCCCACAUUGGAACUGAGACACGGUCCAAACUCCUACGGGAGGCAGCA